UGUUUGCCGCUUCUUUUUUCCUACAUCUACUCUGCAUAUUUCUUGUUAAGACAGAGGAAGUCAGUGUCAGACUCAGUCACUGUCAGUCGAGUGUCUCAGAAAGCUGUAGCUCUCUAAUCCAUGACAGCAUGAACUUGGUUUGUAUCCUUUUAUUGGUCCUUUGGUCAUCUUUCAAUUCAUCUGGUGCAUGGUACCUAAAAAACAAUACAACAACAGAUUCCCCUCAUGCAUGGCAUACUACUGGUGCUACUUCAGUGACAGAUUCCCCUCAUGCAUGGCAUACUACUGAUACUACUUCAGUGACAGAUUCUCCUGAUGUAUGGCAAACUACUUCUAAUACAGAUCUCCCAGUACUGAACAUCACAGUAUACCGACAGAAGGAGAACAGAGAGCGUGUGAUAGUGCUGUGCGAGGUUGACAUAGAACAUGUGUUUUAUUGGCCGUCUUUCACACUUUCUGUGGAGAGUGAAGAGAAAUACACCAUAGAAAUUGAAAGACGCUUUUCAUUUGCUGCAUGCAUGUUUAUGGUCACUGUGAGUUCACCUGCUUCCUUCACCUGUGAGAUUAAAGUUUAUUAUGAAGGAGAAGUCAAGAAACUGAGCAGCCAGACCUACACUUACAAGUGGUCAGUCUUUGAUCAUCAUGAGGAAGGAGUAUCUUUAUUCUACAUCUGCUUUUCCUCCUUCAUUGCUGUUGGUCUCGUCAUCAUGACUGCAGCAGUGAUCGUGACCACCAUCAGGAGCAAAGCUAAAGACUCCAUCAACCACACCACAACUGUUACAGUCAAUGACUAUAUGGAUGCAUAAAUAAUCAGAAGACUUUCUGAAGAGAGAAGAGCAGACCUGAAGAGGAGAAACAUUUACUGUAAAAAUAUAAAUUAAAAAUUGGCCUUUUUUAUUGUAUUUGUACCACGGGAUGUGAAUUAGUGAUGACACCAGACACAGGCUGAAUAAUCUACAAACCCGAUUCCAAAAAAGUUGGGACACUGUACAAAUUGUGAAUAAAAAAGGAAUGCAAUGAUGUGGAAGUUUCAAAUUUCAAUAUUUUAUUCAGAAUACAACAAAGAUGACAUAUCAAAUGUUUAAACUGAGAAAAUGUAUCAUUUUAAGGGAAAAAUAAGUUGAUUUUAAAUUUCAUGGCAUCAACACAUCUCAAAAAAGUUGGGACAAGGCCAUGUUUACCACUGUGUGGCAUCCCCUCUUCUUUUUAUAACAGUCUGCAAAUGUCUGGGGACUGAGGAGACAACUGUCAACUGUCUUAGGUCUUCUUUGUUGCAUCUUCUUCUUUAUGAUGCGCCAAAUGUUUUCUAUGGGUGAAAGAUCUGGCCAUUUCAGUACCCGGAUCCUUCUUCUACGCAGCCAUGAUGUUGUAAUUGAUGCAGUAUGUGGUCUGGCAUUGUCAUGUUGGAAAAUGCAAGGUCUUCCCUGAAAGAGACGACGUCUGGAUGGGAGCAUAUGUUGUUCUAGAACUUGGAUAUACCUUUCAGCAUUGAUGGUGCCUUUCCAGAUGUGUAAGCUGCCCAUGCCACACGCACUCAUGCAACCCCAUACCAUCAGAGAUGCAGGCUUCUGAACUGAACGCUGAUAACAACUUGGGCUGUCCUUGUCCUCUUUAGUCCGGAUGACAUGGCGUCCCAGUUUUCCAAAAAGAACUUUAAAUUUUGAUUCGUCUGACCACAAAACAGUUUUCCACUUUGUCACAGUCCAUUUUAAAUGAGCCUUGGCCCAGAGAAAACGCCUGCGCUUCUGGAUCAUGUUUAGAUAUGGCUUCUUUUUUGACCUAUAGAGUUUUAGCCAGCAACGGCGAAUGGCACGGUGGAUUGUGUUCACCGACAAUGUUUUCUGGAAGUAUUCCUGAGCCCAUGUUGUGAUUUCCAUUACAGUAGCAUUCAGUAUGUCAUGCAGUGCCGUCUAAGUGCCCGAAGAUCACAGGCAUCCAGUAUGGUUUUCCGGCCUUGACCCUUACGCACAGAGAUUGUUCCAGAUUCUCUGAAUCUUUGGAUGAUAUUAUGCACUGUAGAUGAUGAUAACUUCAAACUCUUUGCAAUUUUUCUCUAAGAAACUCCUUUCUGAUAUUGCUCCACUAUUUUUCGCCGCAGCAUUGGGGGAAUUGGUGAUCCUCUGCCCAUCUUGACUUCUGAGAGACACUGCCACUCUGAGAGGCUCUUUUUAUACCAAAUCAUGUUGCCAAUUGACCAAAUAAGUUGCAAAUUGGUCCUCCAGCUGUUCCUUAUAUGUACAUUUAACUUUUCCGGCCUCUUAUUGCUACCUGUCCCAACUUUUUUGGAAUGUGUAGCUCUCAUGAAAUCCAAAAUGAGCCAAUAUUUGGCAUGACAUUUCAAAAUGUCUCACUUUCAACAUCUGAUAUGUUAUCUAUAUUCUAUUGUGAAUAAAAUAUAAGUUUAUGAGAUUUGUAAAUUAUUGCAUUCCUUUUUUAUUCACAAUUUGUACAGUGUCCCAACUUUUUUGGAAUCGGGUUUGUAAAUGGGGGAUCUUUUAUUCCAGACUGCACUUUGAACAGCGCAGCGUUAACUAUGCAGAAUCUAGAGAGCUGUGGAGUAGGAAAAUUAAAGCUUGUAUACAGUUGUUAACAAUAAAGCUUGUUUCUCACAUCAAAA